GGAUAAUCUGCCCUCAGGUGAGGAAUAAUCCCGGGAAACUGGGGCUAAUGCCUCAUAGGAGACGGGUGCUGGAAUGCUCUGUCUCCGAAAGGUCCGCCGCCUGAGGAUGAGUCUGCGUCCGAUUAGGUUGUUGUUGGGGUAACGGCCCAACAAGCCUUUGAUCGGUACGGGUUGUGGGAGCAAGAGCCCGGAGAUGGAUUCUGAGACAUGAAUCCAGGCCCUACGGGGCGCAGCAGGCGCGAAAACUUUACAAUGCGAGCAAUCGUGAUAAGGAAACCCUGAGUGCCUGUCAAUGCAGGCUGUUCUGGUGUCUAACACACACCAGGAGAAAGGGCGGGGCAAGACCGGUGCCAGCCGCCGCGGUAAUACCGGCUGCUCGAGUGAUAGCCACUUUUACUGGGCUUAAAGCGUUCGUAGCUUGGUCGUUAAGUCUCUGGGGAAAUCUUUUGGCUCAACCAAAAGGCGUCUCAGGGAAACUGACGAUCUUGGAACCGGGAGAGGUAAGACGUACUUCAGGGGUAGGAGUGAAAUCUUGUAAUCCCCGAGGGACGACCGAUGGCGAAGGCAUCUUACCAGAACGGCUUCGACAGUGAGGGACGAAAGCUGGGGGAGCAAACCGGAUUAGAUACCCGGGUAGUCCCAGCCGUAAACGAUGUGCGUUAGGUGUGUCAGUGACCACGAGUCGCUGAGGUGCCGAAGGGAAACCGUGAAACGCACCGCCUGGGAAGUACGGUCGCAAGGCUGAAACU
rnacentral:rRNA from 1 species